rnacentral:sRNA from 1 species
UAAUUGAAUAAUUUAAUGAUUUCCCCUUCCUAUUUGAUAUUGAUUAGCUCACCAAUCCAUAUGUAAUGGAACUCUAUUCGCUUUUCUGAUUGAUAUAUAAAAUAAUAGAAUCAGGAAAUCCUCUAUUUACUAUAUCACUGAAUAAUAACUUUUUUGUUGACAAAAGAAUAAAGAUCAUUUCUAUUCCAAGGUGGGGAGUUUUAUUUUCCCCAUCAACCUA